UACAGAGGGGGCAAGCGUUGUUCGGAAUUACUGGGCGUAAAGGGCGCGUAGGCGGCCUGUUAAGUCGAACGUGAAAUCCCCGGGCUCAACCCGGGAACUGCGUCCGAUACUGGCAGGCUUGAAUCCGGGAGAGGGAUGCGGAAUUCCAGGUGUAGCGGUGAAAUGCGUAGAUAUCUGGAGGAACACCGGUGGCGAAAGGCG
rnacentral:rRNA from 1 species